rnacentral:lncRNA from 1 species
UUUCUGCUCAUAGAUCCGAAUUGAAUGCUCUUGGACGUUCUGGAAAGAAGACUCAAAUUUCUAUGGUUCUCAUGAAGGACCCGGAAACUAAAUCGGCCUGGAAGUGCACCGUCCUUCGCAUCCUUUAGAACUGAUCUGCUCGGUCAGGAAUACCUGCGAGACUGGGGUUCCUUCCGACAAGCUUAUCUCUCUGCUCACGCGUCCGAAUUCCACGAUUCUACUUGCUAAGAGACCGUGAUGCAAUGCUCUCC